AUUGAACGCUGGCGGCAGGCCUAACACAUGCAAGUCGGGCGGAUGAAGGGAGCUUGCUCCUGGAUUCAGCGGCGGACGGGUGAGUAAUGCCUAGGAAUCUGCCUGGUAGUGGGGGAUAACGUCCGGAAACGGGCGCUAAUACCGCAUACGUCCUGAGGGAGAAAGUGGGGGAUCUUCGGACCUCACGCUAUCAGAUGAGCCUAGGUCGGAUUAGCUAGUUGGUGGGGUAAAGGCCUACCAAGGCGACGAUCCGUAACUGGUCUGAGAGGAUGAUCAGUCACACUGGAACUGAGACACGGUCCAGACUCCUACGGGAGGCAGCAGUGGGGAAUAUUGGACAAUGGGCGAAAGCCUGAUCCAGCCAGGCCGCGUGUGUGAAGAAGGUCUUCGGAUUGUAAAGCACUUUAAGUUGGGAGGAAGGGCAGUAAGUUAAUACCUUGCUGUUUUGACGUUACCAACAGAAUAAGCACCGGCUAACUUCGUG
rnacentral:rRNA from 1 species